GUGAGUUCGGAGCACCUUCUCUGAGCUUUGCGCGGGAGCGGGCGGCUUUGACCCGUCGUCGCCGAGUGACGUCUGACCACCCUGCAAAUAUCGGCUGGCUUGCUGUUUCAAUAGAAAGGAUCCGUGCUCCAGUCGAAGACAUGGACGGCUUGCUUGGGAAAUACCUCUUCAUGGUGGUUUUUGCCACACUCGCUGCACUGAUAAUGGUCCCAAACCAAGCUGAGGCAAUUCCAAGCUCCUUCUUGGAAGCUAUCACCGGAAAGGGCACUGGACGAAAUGAAGAAAUUGCCGAGUAGCGCAGCAUCCGUCUUUGCGAUAAAAUGGGGCCGACCUUCGUUCCAAUGACAACGCCUGCUUCUUUACUGAAUAAAACGAACGAAGCAAAAAUUGACCUGGAAUGAAUAAACACCUCCAAAUC